GACGUAGGGCGCGAGCGUUGUCCGGAUUUAUUGGGCGUAAAGAGCUCGUAGGCGGCUUGUCGCGUCGACCGUGAAAACUUGGGGCUCAACCGCAAGCUGGCGGUCGAUACGGGCAGGCUGGAGUUCGGUAGGGGAGACUGGAAUUCCUGGUGUAGCGGUGAAAUGCGUAGAUAUCGGAAGGAACGCCGGUGGCGAAAGCGACGUGCUGGACCCCUUCUGACGCUCAUGCACGAAAGCGUGGGGAGCAAACAGG
rnacentral:rRNA from 1 species